GACGAACGCUGGCGGCGUGCCUAAUACAUGCAAGUCGAACGAACCGCGACCGAGUGCUUGCACUUGGUCAAGGUGAGUGGCGAACGGGUGAGUAACACGUGGGUAACCUACCUCAUAGUGGGGGAUAACAGUCGGAAACGACUGCUAAUACCGCAUAGGACAUGGAAUCACAUGAUUCUGUGAGGAAAGGUGGCGCAAGCUAUCGCUAAGAGAUGGACCCGCGGUGCAUUAGCUAGUUGGUAGGGUAACGGCCUACCAAGGCGAUGAUGCAUAGCCGACCUGAGAGGGUGAUCGGCCACAUUGGGACUGAGACACGGCCCAAACUCCUACGGGAGGCAGCAGUAGGGAAUCUUCCGCAAUGGACGCAAGUCUGACGGAGCAACGCCGCGUGAGUGAAGAAGGUCUUCGGAUCGUAAAGCUCUGUUGUUAGAGAAGAACAGCGCAUAGAGUAACUGUUAUGCGGGUGACGGUAUCUAACCA
rnacentral:rRNA from 1 species